CUUUUCAGGCCAGUUAGUCGUUCACCUCCAUCGAAUCAACCAACAGGGGAGGCUCAACGCUGACAGCUUCGCUCCCCCGACCUUGGUGUGCGGCGUGUCCCGACUGUCCGGCAUGGCGGAGCUGUCCGGUAUCUGCUCGCACAUCAUCUACACGGGCGACAUGGACAUAUUCAGCGACGGCGUCGAGUACACGCUCCUGC
rnacentral:lncRNA from 1 species